rnacentral:rRNA from 1 species
UACGUAGGAGGCAAGCGUUGUCCGGAUUUACUGGGCGUAAAGCGCGCGCAGGCGGCAGUGCAAGUAAGGUGUGAAAUCUCCCUGCUCAACGGGGAGGGUGCAUUUUAGACUGCACAGCUAGAGGUCGGUAGAGGGGGGUGGAAUUCCUGGUGUAGCGGUGAAAUGCGCAGAUAUCAGGAGGAACACCAAUGGCGAAGGCAGCUCGCUGGGACGGUACUGACGCUGAGGCGCGAAAGCGUGGGGAGCAAACAGG